rnacentral:misc_RNA from 1 species
UCCGGUUUGUCACCGGCAGUCUCAUUAGAGUGCCCAACUGAAUGUAGCAACUAAUGACAAGGGUUGCGCUCGUUGCGGGACUUAACCCAACAUCUCACGACACGAGCUGACGACGGCCAUGCAGCACCUGUGUCCAAGUUCUCUUUCGAGCACUCUCACAUCUCUGCGAGAUUCUUGGCAUGUCAAGGGUAGGUAAGGUUUUUCGCGUUGCAUCGAAUUAAACCACAUCAUCCACCGCUUGUGCGGGUCCCCGUCAAUUCCUUUGAGUUUUAGCCUUGCGGCCGUAGUCCCCAGGCGGCGGACUUAAUGCGUUAGCUGCGGCGCCGAGGGGGUCGAUACCCCCGACACCUAGUCCGCAUCGUUUACGGCGUGGACUAC